rnacentral:misc_RNA from 1 species
AAGUCGUAACAAGGUUUCCGUAGGUGAACCUGCGGAAGGAUCAUUAACAAAUCCGUUGUGGUUUUUUGGGGGGUGGGAUCGUCUCAUUCAUCAUCCAUGCAUGGUAUGGAUGGAUGGAUGGAUGGGGUGGGAUGACCAUCACCAAAAAACCUGACAUUAAAGCGGCCAUUUAUCAAGUUUUUUUACUUGUAUGGAUGGUACCGUGUGUGUGAGUGAAAUGAUGGCGAGAGAGAGUUUUCUAUGAGAGUUUUCUAUGAGAGUUUUCUAUGAGGGUUUUCUAUGAGGGUUUUCUAUGAGGGUUUUCUCUUGGCAUGCUUUCACAUCAUAUCGUUAACCCGUUUUUUUGAUUGUUUGACUGUUUUGAUUUGACAAUUUUAAAUAUAUAUAUAACUUUUAACAAUGGAUCUCUUGGCUCUU